CCUGGUGGCUCAGAUGGUAAAGCGUCUGCCUGCAAUGCAGGAGACCUGGGUUAAAUCCCUGGGUCAGGA
rnacentral:tRNA from 1 species